AGCAGCCGCGGUAAUUCCAGCUCCAAUAGCGUAUAUUAAAGUUGUUGCAGUUAAAAAGCUCGUAGUUGAAUUUCGGGGAUCAAAUUGUUGGUCGUGCCUCGGUACGCACUGGUAUUAUUGGUUCCUACCUUCUGAAGAACCGCGAUGUCAUUAAUUUGGUGUCGUGGGGAAUCAGGACUGUUACUUUGAAAAAUUGAGUGUUUAAAGCAGGCUUACGCUUGAAUACAUUAGCAUGGAAUAAUGAGAUAGGACGUUUGAUUCUAUUUUGUUGGUUUCUAGGAUUGACGUAAUGAUUAAUAGGGAUAGUUGGGGGCAUUAGUAUUCAAUUGUCAGAGGUGAAAUUCUUGGAUUUAUUGAAGACUAACUACUGCGAAAGCAUUUGCCAAGGAUGUUUUC
rnacentral:rRNA from 1 species